rnacentral:rRNA from 1 species
GUGUCAGCAGCCGCGGUAAUACAGAGGGUGCAAGCGUUGUUCGGAAUCACUGGGCGUAAAGCGCGCGCAGGCGGAUGGUUGCGUCCGGAGUGAAAUUUCGCCGCUCAACGGCGAAGCUGCUUUGGAUACGGACCGUCUAGGGACCGGUAGAGGCUGGUAGAAUUGCAGGUGUAGCGGUGGAAUGCGUAGAGAUCUGCAAGAAUACCCGUGGCGAAGGCGGCCAGCUGGGCCGGAUCCGACGCUGAGGCGCGAAAGCGUGGGGAGCAAACAGGAUUAGAAACCCCCGUAGUCC